AGGUAAAUUAGCUUGCCCCAUGAUCCAGUGUAGGGCUGAGUGGGGAUGCUGCAGAUGUUCCAGGAGCCCUCCUGUGAGUUUGUGCCACCCCAUGCAGGGAUUUGGAUUACCAGAGGAUAACUGUUGCAGUACAUGUCACAGCUGAGAUGGCCACCACACACAGAGUGUCAUCGUGCAAGUUCAGAAGGCUUCAACCCCCACAGAGCAAUACCUUGGCACUCCAGAAGGCUUCAAGUGUCUGUCUGCCCCUGUUCUUCAGCCCAGCCUUUUGUACCCUGAUGUUGUUGCCCUGCCCCUGUGUGUCCCCUGCUCCCUUUGGUGGCUGCUCAGUGUCCCUGGGCCCUCCAUGGCUCACUGCUGGCAGUGCUGCUCACAGCUGCACCUCGGGGAUGGGGCUGGGCCACACACUGAGCACCUACAGUAACUGUGCUCAGCACCUGGACAGAGAGAAAGGCUCUGGAAGAAGUUGGUGCAAUUGCUGUUUAGCUUUAUAAAGCAACCCACACUGGAGAUGAGGGCAGUACCCAGAGAAGUGCAGCUUCUAUUCCGGAUGCUGUUUGCUUCCAAGGGCAAACAGCAUUGGUAGCCCUACCUAUUUCUCUGUCCCUGAUAAUAGUAUCAAAUACUCCAUGAGUUCUUUGUAAGUACCAAGGUGCUUUACAAAUCCAACAUCAUAAACAAAGCACAGCAGCAACAGUGAACUUUCCUGAGCUCACUGUUUAGGAUGUUUAGAACUGCUGAUGUUGGGUGUACCAUGAGGACACAAAGAGCACACAGAGCACUCUCUCCACAUCUGCAUCACUUCUAGCAGGUUGCAGGGAGGAACAUGGGAAUAAAACACAUUUUAGAAACCAGUCAAGACAAAAUCACGCUACUUUGAGAAGGACAUGGACAGAGAAAUUGAAGGAGGAAUACUGGCUAGUACCAAGUUCUGCCGGUUCUGGAGAUGUACUAGGACACAAAUCUGUAGAGGCAGCCUGUAGGCAGCAGGACUGGAAGUCUCUGGGGCAUGGGACACAUAAAUGUGCAAAAGGAUGACAUUAAACCCAAGGCCUUUAAAGUGUCUCCAAAAUUGGUUUUAAGUACAGCUUUUCUUAAGUUCCUUUUAGUAAUUAUUUUCCAUAUCUAAAAGUGCACUUACUGUCAUUAUUUGUGCACUACAGGAAAGGACAGAACAUUACCUAUAAAUAGCUUAGAAAAGAUAGGGUGUUUUUGCAUAUAAGAACGUUUUAUUUUCCUGUGUGAAUUUAAUGGGAUAGAUGCCAAUGCUUUUAUGAAUUGUGAAUGCAGCAGUCUUCUUUCCAAAUGAAGAUGUUGGAAGUGUGCCACUGGAACAAGGUGCUCAUAUUA